rnacentral:misc_RNA from 1 species
AAUUCUCAACUCUAUAUAUUUUUGUGUAUAGAUGUUGGAUUGUGGGGGAUUAUGCUGGCUUGUCAGCUCCUCUUAAAUGCAUUAGCAAAGAUAGUCUUGCAAUUGUUAGUGUGAUAAUGAUCGCUGCAUUUGACUGAGACUUAUAAUCUUAGCUUAUAGUCGUCUUUUAUCAGACAACAUAUUGAAA